GGUUGGCGGGCAGCGGGCAAGGGGGCCUAAGAGCGCGAUGCCCGUCACCGGCGUUAUCUGCCAGCAAGGCAAGCUCGGCCAGCGGCAAGAGG
rnacentral:ribozyme from 14 species